rnacentral:lncRNA from 1 species
UAAUCAUGGUUUUUAGGCAUUGAGAUAAACAUAAACAAGACAUGACGUAGUUUCACAUAACAUCACAAGACACAACAUAUUGAUGGUGAAGACAAAAUCAUAUUUGACAUGGUAAAAUCAUUCAUUUGCAAAUGGUAAACACAACAUGAAUCAAUUUAGGUCAAACAUGUAUCAGAUUAUAAUUCUUCACAAAAUAAACAUUAACCCUAAAUCAAAG